UACAGAGGUCUCAAGCGUUGUUCGGAUUCAUUGGGCGUAAAGGGUGUGUAGGUGGCGCCGUAAGUCGGGUGUGAAAUUUCGGAGCUUAACUCCGAAACUGCAUUCGAUACUGCGGUGCUUGAGGACUGGAGAGGAGACUGGAAUUCAUGGUGUAGCAGUGAAAUGCGUAGAGAUCGGGAGGAACAUCUGUGGCGAAGGCGGCCAUCUGGACCAGCACUGACACUGAGGCACGAAAGCGUGGGGAGCAAACAGG
rnacentral:rRNA from 1 species